UAGCUUGUGUAUGGUCCAGAUAUCACCGAGCACCCAAGUAUAAAUUAGCCUUACAAUUCUCUAACGGAAACUUAAUGACUUCAACUUAAGUUGCAUACUGACCUAAGAUUUGGGCUGACUUAGUAAUUAAAACUUUGUGUGCUUUUGAAAUUCUUGGCACUUAUGCAUUUGAAGUUAAAUUUUAUAAAACAAUAAACUCUUUGGGUAGAGACAACAGUUUGUGGGUAUCUGAGCCGGAAACCCUCACGAGACAAAACUCGUCCACUAGGGCCACCUAGGGGUUUAAAGCCUUAUUGCAUACGGAAAAUGCAAUCGCGAUUCCUGCGAAAGUGAGUUAGUUUUUAUUUUGCUCGAGGACUAGCAAAAUGUAGGUUUGGGGGUGUGAUAAGUGCUAAAUAAUGCAUGAAUUAAUAUCUUACUUAUAGCACUUAUCAUUAUUUUUACGCAUAUAUUUUAAAUUUAAACAUAAGAAAAUUCAUUCCCCCUUAUCAUUGCAUUUUAAUAAAUUAUUAGAAAUAAUUCGAGUUUGCUUGAUUUUAUUGGUCGAGUCUAAUGUGUGCAGGUUACGUCGAACUAAUUAGGAUGAUGUCUGAACUAAUGUGUACAGGUCACGUUUGCAGCUGAACCCGUGUCCACGUCAUCCUUUAAAUGCUUAGAGAUCAAGCUUCCACGUCACUUUCCAGUUCCCGGGUCCCAUGAACAAAACCAAGCCUAUCAUCCCGUUCAAGUCCCAAAUUUCAUGCGUCCGCCCCGCGUAUCUCGCAACACCUCUCCCCUGUUCCGCGUCACCAGAUCAUGUUUCAUCAUUUCUCCUCAUCCACUUCUUCCGAACCAGCCAGCAUUUCGGAUUGAUCUUGAAUUCACCUCAUGCGAUCGUUCCCAGUGAAUCUCCAACGCCACGGAUUAGCUUCCCGGCAUCCUUCAACCGUGAAUAUUAUCUCCAACUAAAAUCCUUUCUCCCGAACCAAUCCAGCAUCUUUACGGCUUAAUCCCAGGAAACCUCAGGAUCUCAUCCUCAUCCUUCCCAAUAUCCCACGAACGGAAUUCCAGCUCCCAACACCUCAUGCAUCCUCUCCACGAUUCAUUCUUAUCCCCUCUCAGCCGUGAAUAUCAUUCAAGCACCCAGUUCCAGCAUCCACGGAUGAGCUCAAAUCCCCUGUUCGCGGAUCAAGCCAGCCUUCAUCCUGUUCGUAAGAUCCAUCUCCCACAGCCAUCCGUGAUCAUCUCCCAGCAUCCUCCUCUUCCGGCUUGAUUCCAGCUCCCCUGUUACGUGUAGCAUCCCGUCUUCAUCGCCUACCAAACUCAGGAUCCAUUCAAUCCCAACGUCCCUGCUCACAGCUCGCUCCCAAACACAACCCCUGUUCCGAGUCAGUCCCGUAUCCCAUGCUCAUCACGAAUCCAACCAUUCCCUCCUUUCACGGACAUCUCCCAAGUCGUUCCCAGAUUGCUUCCCAGCGUCCGCAAUUCAUGGAUAACUCCCAACAUCGCCUGCAAUCCAAAGAUUUCCUCCCAGCGUUCACGAUAACUUCAACCACCCAUGUAUCCCCUGAACAAAGCCUAGUCUUCCCAUCAACUGCCAACCGAAUCCAAACUUCCUCCCAUUCGGAUUAAUUCCAUUGAUCACGGAAGAAUCCCCUGUUCCUAUCUUUCCCGAGCUCAUCCUCCCAAGGAAUAGAGCUGUCAUCCCGUUUGCAUGCCGUUCACAGUUCCGCAUCCAAAGCUCCCAACAACUCGAUCAAUUCCAUCAUUAUCCCGCAUCCUAAACCAUCAAAUCUUCUUUCAGCUUCCUCCCAGCUUUGCAUCCUUAUCCUAUGCUUCAGAACAGGGUACCAUCUUAUCACGGCUCAAGCCAGCAAAGUCCCAGCUCUUUCCGUCCGAGAUUCUCUCCACGU
rnacentral:lncRNA from 1 species